CGGGCCGGCCAGACGGUCGCGUCAUCCGGCAACGGAUGCCGAGGAACGUCCGGGCUCCACAGGGCAGGACGGUGGGUAACACCCACCCGGGGCAACCCGCGAGACAGUGCCACAGAAAACAGACCGCCCCCUCGGGGGUCAGGGUGAAAAGGUGGGGUAAGAGCCCACCGGGUGCCUGGUGACAGGCAUCGCACGGUAAACCUCGUCCGGAGCAAGGUCAGACAGGGGACGGUGACGCUGCCCGCCGAGUCCCCGGGUGGACCGCUGGAGGCGUGCGGCGACGUACGCCCGAGAGAGAUGGCCGUCACGGGCUUCGGCCCGGACAGAACCCGGCGUACCGGCCGACCCGUUCG
rnacentral:RNase_P_RNA from 1 species